GUGGGGAAUCUUAGACAAUGGGGGAAACCCUGAUCUAGCCAUGCCGCGUGAUCGAUGAAGGCCUUAGGGUUGUAAAGAUCUUUCAGCUGGGAAGAUAAUGACGGUACCAGCAGAAGAAGCCCCGGCUAACUCCGUGCCAGCAGCCGCGGUAAUACGGAGGGGGCUAGCGUUGUUCGGAAUUACUGGGCGUAAAGCGCACGUAGGCGGAUUGGAAAGUUGGGGGUGAAAUCCCGGGGCUCAACCCCGGAACUGCCUUCAAAACUCCCAGUCUUGAGGUCGAGAGAGGUGAGUGGAAUUCCGAGUGUAGAGGUGAAAUUCGUAGAUAUUCGGAGGAACACCAGUGGCGAAGGCGGCUCACUGGCUCGAUACUGACGCUGAGGUGCGAAAGCGUGGGGAGCAAACAGGAUUAGAAACCCGAGUAGUCC
rnacentral:rRNA from 1 species